GACAAGAAAGACUAGCGUUUUUCAUCUUUAUUGGGUUUAAAGGGUACAUAGACGGUUUAUCUUACCAUUAAAAGGUAACAGAUUAAACUAGAGUUUUAUAUGAGAGGUAAAUUUAGUAUUGAAAGAGAAGAGAUGAAAUUUUUUUAUACUUUCGAGACUGGUGAUAGUGAAAACAAUCCUCUGUGUAAUAACUGACGUUAAGGGACGAAGGCAUGGAUCUCGAAUAGG
rnacentral:rRNA from 1 species